rnacentral:rRNA from 1 species
GAUCAUUACCGUGUCGCAUACGCGACGUUAAAGAUUUCCACCCUUGCAUUUCGAGUACCCUCUGUUUCCUCGGCGGGCCCGCCCGCCAAUGGGGACCACAAACAAACCUCUUGUAGUUGCAGUAAACGUCACAAAUCAAAAAAUCAAAACUUUCAACAACGGAUCUCUUGGUUCUGGCAUCGAUGAAGAACGCAGCGAAAUGCGAUAAGUAGUGUGAAUUGCAGAAUUCAGUGAAUCAUCGAAUCUUUGAACGCACAUUGCGCCCUUUGGUAUUCCUUAGGGCAUGCCUGUUCGAGCGUCAUCUAAACCCUCAAGCACAGCUUGGUGUUGGGCGCUUGUCCCGCCUCCGGCGCGGACUCGCCUCAAAAGCAUUGGCGGCCUGUGUGAACGGCUUCGAGUGCAGCAGAAUAGCGGCUCGAGGACCUCCCGCGGGCGUCCACAAGGACAACCCCCAAGUUUGACCUCGGAUCAGGUAGGGAUACCCGCUGAACUUAAGCAUAUCAAUAAGCGGAGGAAAAGAAACCAACAGGGAUUGCCCCAGUAACGGCGAGUGAAGCGGCAAGAGCUCAAAUUUGAAAUCUGGCCCUCUCAGGGUCCGAGUUGUAAUUUGUAGAGGGCGCUUUGGCGUCGGCUACGGCCUAAGUUCCUUGGAACAGGACGUCACAGAGGGUGAGAACCCCGUACGUGGCCGCCGGCCUUCGCCGUGUAAAGCCCCUUCGACGAGUCGAGUUGUUUGGGAAUGCAGCUCUAAAUGGGAGGUAAAUUUCUUCUAAAGCUAAAUACUGGCCAGAGACCGAUAGCGCACAAGUAGAGUGAUCGAAAGAUGAAAAGUACUUUGGAAAGAGAGUCAAAAAGCACGUGAAAUUGUUGAAAGGGAAGCGCUUGCAGCCAGACUUGCCUGUAGUUGCUCAUCCGGGCUCUCGCCCGGUGCACUCUUCUGCGGGCAGGCCAGCAUCAGUCCGGGCGGUCGGAUAAAGGUCCUGGGAAUGUAGCUCCCCUCGGGGAGUGUUAUAGCCCGGGGCGUCAUGCGACCAGCCUGGACUGAGGUCCGCG